GACGAACGCUGGCGGCGUGCUUAAUACAUGCAAGUCGAGCGAGGUUACUGGAGUGGAGCCCUUCGGGGUGAAGCUGCUUUAACCUAGCGGCGGACGGGUGAGUAACGCGUGGGUAACCUACCCCAAAGUCCGGGAUAACAGCGGGAAACCGCUGCUAAUACCGGAUGCCUUUACCUUGGGGCAUCUUGAGGUAAAGAAAGGCAACGCUUUGGGAUGGGCCCGCGUCCCAUUAGCUAGUUGGUGAGGUAACGGCUCACCAAGGCGACGAUGGGUAGCCGGCCUGAGAGGGUGGACGGCCACACUGGGACUGAGACACGGCCCAGACUCCUACGGGAGGCAGCAGUAGGGAAUAUUGCGCAAUGGACGGAAGUCUGACGCAGCGACGCCGCGUGAGCGAUGAAGGCCUUCGGGUCGUAAGCUCUGUCCUUGGGAAGAAGGCGAAAGCUUGACGGUACCCAAGAAGAAAGCCCCGGCUAACUACGUG
rnacentral:rRNA from 1 species